GGCAUAGCUCAGUAACAAAGCUUCUGCUUUGCAUGCAGAAGGUCCUAGGCUCAAUCCACAGUGGCAUCU